UAUCACGAUAGGCCUAUAGCUCGAUGGG
rnacentral:sRNA from 1 species